rnacentral:rRNA from 2 species
UACAGAGGGUGCAAACGUUGCUCGGAAUCAUUGGGCGUAAAGCGCACGUAGGCGGUCUGUUAAGUCGGGUGUGAAAUCCCCAGGCUCAACCUGGGAAGUGCACUCGAAACUGGCGGGCUUGAAUAUGGAAGAGGGUCGCGGAAUUCCCGGUGUAGAGGUGAAAUUCGUAGAUAUCGGGAGGAACACCAGUGGCGAAGGCGGCGACCUGGGCCAAUAUUGACGCUGAGGUGCGAAAGCGUGGGGAGCAAACAGG